UUGCUUCUCUUGAGAGCGGCGGACGGGUGAGUAAUGCCUAGGAAUCUGCCUGGUAGUGGGGGAUAACGUCCGGAAACGGACGCUAAUACCGCAUACGUCCUACGGGAGAAAGCAGGGGACCUUCGGGCCUUGCGCUAUCAGAUGAGCCUAGGUCGGAUUAGCUAGUUGGUGGGGUAAUGGCUCACCAAGGCGACGAUCCGUAACUGGUCUGAGAGGAUGAUCAGUCACACUGGAACUGAGACACGGUCCAGACUCCUACGGGAGGCAGCAGUGGGGAAUAUUGGACAAUGGGCGAAAGCCUGAUCCAGCCAUGCCGCGUGUGUGAAGAAGGUCUUCGGAUUGUAAAGCACUUUAAGUUGGGAGGAAGGGCAGUAAAUUAAUACUUUGCUGUUUUGACGUUACCGACAGAAUAAGCACCGGCUAACUCUGUGCCAGCAGCCGCGGUAAUACAGAGGGUGCAAGCGUUAAUCGGAAUUACUGGGCGUAAAGCGCGCGUAGGUGGUUCGUUAAGUUGGAUGUGAAAUCCCCGGGCUCAACCUGGGAACUGCAUUCAAAACUGACGAGCUAGAGUAUGGUAGAGGGUGGUGGAAUUUCCUGUGUAGCGGUGAAAUGCGUAGAUAUAGGAAGGAACACCAGUGGCGAAGGCGACCACCUGGACUGAUACUGACACUGAGGUGCGAAAGCGUGGGGAGCAAACAGGAUUAGAUACCC
rnacentral:rRNA from 1 species